rnacentral:snRNA from 1 species
CACAAUAGAGAAGAUUAGCAUGGACCCUGGGCAAGGAGGACACACAAAUCUGUGAAACAGUCCAUAUUUUU